rnacentral:rRNA from 1 species
UACGAAGGGGGCUAGCGUUGCUCGGAAUCACUGGGCGUAAAGGGUGCGUAGGCGGGUUUUUAAGUCAGAGGUGAAAUCCUGGAGCUCAACUCCAGAACUGCCUUUGAUACUGAAAGUCUUGAGUAUGGGAGAGGUGAGUGGAACUGCGAGUGUAGAGGUGAAAUUCGUAGAUAUUCGCAAGAACACCAGUGGCGAAGGCGGCUCACUGGCCCAUAACUGACGCUGAGGCACGAAAGCGUGGGAGCAAACAGG